UGUUAGCCCGGUACGUGUAAACUCCAAAACCUCUGAGAGCCCAUCGCAAUCAGAUCUGCUGAUAACUUCCAGCUAAUGCGCUGCACCUGAGGAGAUGAAAGCCCAGGUUCUGUUGCUACUCCUUGUUGUUGUCGGAGUUGAGUUGAUGUCCGUCCAUUCCCAUGGGGACUCACCAGUUGUUCCAGAAGAUGUGGCCCUUGCAGAAAUGAGAGGGGAACAGGGAGAAGUGAAGCCUGUGCCCCCUGAACCAAUCACCGAGCGUUUCUCAAAAUCUUAAAAGUUUUCUCAUUGCAGGAAUGAAGAAAUGGAGAAAAGAGAGGGAAAAAAAUCUUUCCAUUUUUGCACCUAAUUACUAGCCAAAGCUGCUCAUGUGUUUGUGAUAUCUGAGAACGUUGUUCCUUUUAUGUACACCUCGGAUUUGAUUUAAAAAAAAUGCAAAAACAUUGUCAUAAAACAUGUUCCUACAAAGACUGCAUUGUACUCAACUAAACCAUAAUUACAAAAUAAAAUGUUAAUCUUAGAA